AGCAGCCGCGGUAAUUCCAGCUCCAAUAGCGUAUAUUAAAGUUGCUGCAGUUAAAAAGCUCGUAGUUGAAUUUCGGGACCAAUAUGUCGGUCGUGCCUCGGUACGUACUGGCAUCGUUGGUUUCUCCCUUCUAACGAACCAUGAUGUCAUUUAUUUGGUGUCGUGGGGAAUCAGGACUGUUACUUUGAAAAAAUUAGAGUGUUUAAAGCAGGCUCACGCUUGAAUACAUUAGCAUGGAAUAAUGAAAUAGGACGUUUGAUUCUAUUUUGUUGGUUUCUAGGAUCGACGUAAUGAUUAAUAGGGAUAGUUGGGGGCAUUAGUAUUCAAUUGUCAGAGGUGAAAUUCUUGGAUUUAUUGAAGACUAACUACUGCGAAAGCAUUUGCCAAGGAUGUUUUCAUUAAUCAAGAACGAAAGUUAGGGGAUCGAAGACGAUCAGAUACCGUCGUAGUCUUAACCAUAAACUAUGCCGACUAGGGAUCGGAUGAUGUUAAUUUUUAAUGACUCAUUCGGCGCCUUAAC
rnacentral:rRNA from 1 species